rnacentral:rRNA from 1 species
AGAGUUUGAUCCUGGCUCAGGAUGAACGCUAGCGGCAGGCUUAACACAUGCAAGUCGAGGGGCAGCGCGGGGUAGCAAUACUCUGGCGGCGACCGGCGGAAGGGUGCGUAACGCGUGAGCAACAUGCCCGUGGCAGGGGGAUAAGCGAUGGAAACGUCGUCUAAGACCCCGUAACAACAGGGUUCGCAUGGACUUUGUUUGAAAGCUUCGGCGGCCACGGAUUGGCUCGCGUCCCAUUAGGCAGUUGGCGGGGUAACGGCCCACCAAACCGACGAUGGGUAGGGGUUCUGAGAGGAAGGUCCCCCACAAUGGAACUGAGACACGGUCCAUACUCCUACGGGAGGCAGCAGUGAGGAAUAUUGGUCAAUGGGCGGAAGCCUGAACCAGCCAUGCCGCGUGCAGGAAUAAGGCCCUACGGGUCGUAAACUGCUUUUGUACGGGAGCAAUAAGGGCCACGUGUGGUCCGAUGAGAGUACCGUACGAAUAAGCAUCGGCUAACUCCGUGCCAGCAGCCGCGGUAAUACGGAGGAUGCGAGCGUUAUCCGGAUUCAUUGGGUUUAAAGGGUGCGUAGGCGGCGUGCCAAGUCAGGGGUGAAAGGUUCCGGCUCAACUGGGACAGUGCCUUUGAUACUGGUGUGCUGGAGUGCGCUUGCCGUGGGAGGAAUGAGUGGUGUAGCGGUGAAAUGCUUAGAUAUCACUCAGAACACCGAUUGCGAAGGCAUCUCACGAAGGCGUAACUGACGCUGAGGCACGAAAGCGUGGGGAUCAAACAGGAUUAGAUACCCUGGUAGUCCACGCCGUAAACGAUGAUGACUAACCGCCGGUCCGAUAGGGUCGGUGGCCAAGCGAAAGCGAUAAGUCAUCCACCUGGGGAGUACGACCGCAAGGUUGAAACUCAAAGGAAUUGACGGGGGCCCGCACAAGCGGAGGAACAUGUGGUUUAAUUCGAUGAUACGCGAGGAACCUUACCCGGGCUCGAACGGCAAGUGAAGAGAGACAGAGAUGUUGACGUCCUUCGGGACACUUGUCGAGGUGCUGCAUGGUUGUCGUCAGCUCGUGCCGUGAGGUGUCGGCUCAAGUGCCAUAACGAGCGCAACCCCUGCUUCCAGUUACCAGCACGUAAAGGUGGGGACUCUGGAGGGACUGCCACCGCAAGGUGAGAGGAAGGGGAGGAUGACGUCAAAUCAGCACGGCCCUUACGUCCGGGGCGACACACGUGUUACAAUGGCGGCCACAGAGGGAAGCUACCCUGCGAGGGGAUGCGGAUCUCGAAAAGCCGUCUCAGUUCGGAUCGGAGUCUGCAACUCGACUCCGUAAAGCUGGAUUCGCUAGUAAUCGCGCAUCAGCCAUGGCGCGGUGAAUACGUUCCCGGGCCUUGUACACACCGCCCGUCAAGCCAUGGAAGCCGGGGGCGCCUGAAGUUCGUGACCGCGAGGAGCGACCUAGGGCGAACCUGGUAACUGGGGCUAAGUCGUAACAAGGUAGCCGUACCGGAAGGUGUGGCUGGAACACCUCCUU